GGCAUCAGUAGCGAGAUGUGGGUGAGAAUCCCACAGGCCGAAAACCUAAGGUUUCCUCAGGAAGGUUCGUCCGCUGAGGGUUAGUCGGGACCUAAGCCGAGGCCGAAAGGCGUAGGUGAUGGACAACUGGUUGAUAUUCCAGUACCACUACCAUCGUUAUUAUCGAUGGCGUGACGCAGGAGGAUAGUGUGUGCUAGCUAUUGGAUGAUAGUCUAAGCGUUUAGGCAGUGAGAGUAGGCAAAUCCGCUCUCAUAAUGCUGAGGCGUGAUGGGGAAGGUUCCACGGAACCGAAGUACAUGAUUCCACGCUGCCAAGAAAAGCGUCUAGAGAGAGAAGUAGUGCCCGUACCGCAAACCGACACAGGUAGGUGAGGAGAGAAUCCUAAGGCCGGCGGAAGAAUUACAGUUAAGGAACUCGGCAAAUUGACCCCG
rnacentral:rRNA from 1 species